rnacentral:rRNA from 1 species
GGGUUGUAAACUUCUUUUAUACGGGAAUAAAGUGAGGCACGUGUGCCUUUUUGUAUGUACCGUAUGAAUAAGGAUCGGCUAACUCCGUGCCAGCAGCCGCGGUAAUACGGAGGAUCCGAGCGUUAUCCGGAUUUAUUGGGUUUAAAGGGAGCGUAGGCGGACGCUUAAGUCAGUUGUGAAAGUUUGCGGCUCAACCGUAAAAUUGCAGUUGAUACUGGGUGUCUUGAGUACAGUAGAGGCAGGCGGAAUUCGUGGUGUAGCGGUGAAAUGCUUAGAUAUCACGAAGAACUCCGAUUGCGAAGGCAGCUUGCUGGACUGUAGCUGACGCUGAUGCUCGAAAGUGUGGGUAUCAAACAGGAUUAGAUACCCUGGUAGUCCACACAGUAAA